UCUGUCCUUUCACUUGCACGCACUGAAGCAAACACUGAAGUAAAAAAAAAAUCAUACUGCUCCGCAUCUGUCCCAACUCCGGCGACCGGACAGCCGCUCCGUGACCGGAGACCAACCCUCGAGGUGGUACUUCUCCCCCACCCCGUCCCCCGUCCCCCGCCCCCCAUCCCUGCAACACCCUCAUCUCUCCUCCGGGCUCCAGCUCUCCCCCAUGUCGCAUCCCGUGUGACCGUCGCCUCCACAUCAACGACCACAUCCGGCCGGUGACCCGCGACUGGGAGGUGCUCGAGCUCUUCAUGCUCACGGGCGAUACAGCGCUAGGCGGAAGCGGAGGCGCAGGGGCUCGUCUCCACGCGAAUGGUGGCCGCGGACAUCGCGCAUCUGACGCGUACACAGCACCUGAGCUUGGAGCUCGGCUAGCCACAGGCGAGCUGUUGGCACUACCCUGUGGUGCGAAUCGAAGUAACUCAUGUUGUCUGUGAGAAGCGGGGGUAGAUUGAUGCAGUGUGAAGGAGCGUUUUUGUUGAUGACAACUUAACGGCCUAGCGAUUUGAAGCAUGGGCGAGCCUUAGUUAUUCAUGUCAAGUAUCUCAAAUAUUCCAUGUACUGCUGUUCAAUCUUGGUGGCCCAGAGACCCUCAAUGAUGUUUAGCCGUUUUUGUUCAAUCUCUUUGCUGAUUCAUUGAUUCAUUGUGGCUCGAUGGUCCAGGAUGAGAAGGUAGAGCUAAACAUCCAAUUCAUGUAAUAUUUGAGAAUUAUGGUCAUCAUCCGUUGUAUGCAUCAAUGCUUUCUUAGGGAUGGGUUUUUGUGCUUUCAUGAACAAGCUCAGAUACAUGGAGAGCUGAUUGAACUGCAAUGACCAUCUGAUCAUGUUGCGCAAGAUAGACCUAGAAACUUUCAAGGUCAUGAGUAGUAUGCUAUUGAUGAAGAUGAUUACCUAUGAUGUCAUCUACUCUCAUUUGGUUCAUUUCUGAUUUUGUCAAUCACGGACCAAUCAUCGCUGGUGCAAGCAUAAUCUGUGACA